rnacentral:lncRNA from 1 species
AUGAGGUGGCUGACUGUCUGCCUUUUUUACCUCUCACCCAGCAGGCAGCACGGCCAGCUCUGGAACCUUCCACGUGCACUUUUAGGCCAUCGUGAGGGAUGCGGCUAUGCUUCCCCAGACAGGAGGAGCCCUCGUGCACACUGGUCUUGGCGGCACACGGGAAGACUACCAUUCUGUGCAGCAGCAUUUAACUAUGGUGAGGCCUCCAGCACUUGCAUCCUCUGCUGAGCUGACCGCGGAGGGGCGGCCUCUCAGCCUGCUGUCCUGAGUCACGGCCUGGAGGGCGGAUGUUCUGGAGAGAUGCCUGGACCUGGAGUAGAAUUUGCUUGAAUGAAAAAUAAACCAUUGUCUUGUUAAGACA